rnacentral:piRNA from 1 species
UCCUAGCACAUGUCAGCUCACAACUCCGUC